rnacentral:ncRNA from 24 species
AAAUGUGAUGAUUUGUUGUCGACCGGGCGGACAUAUUAGUAUCUUAGGUAAGGUAGUUUUACAAUUUAAGUUUCCCUUUCAGUGUACAAAUUUUUUGAAGGGGGGAUGGUAAAACAUCAUUAUCUUAUCUUUGAGAAUUGAUGAUUGGUCACAAGAUAUCUGAUU